rnacentral:lncRNA from 1 species
GACAUGUUCUUCACCAAGUCUCAAAAUCAGUUGACCUUUUUGCACAUCAAUAAGGGCUCUGCCGGUAGCUAAAAAUGGUCGACCUAAAAUAAGUGGAAUAUCCCUAUCCUCCUCCAUGUCAAGAAUGAGAAAAUCAGCUGGGAAGAUGAAUUUGUCCACUUUCACCAAGAUAUCCUCAAUAAUUCCUCUUGGGUGCGUGAUAGACCGAUCAGCUAGCUGUAAAGUCACUGUAGUUGCUUUAGCCUCCCCUAAACCCAGUUUUCUAAAAAUAGAUAACGGCAUCAAAUUAAUACUUGCACCUAGAUCACAUAAGGCUUUUUCAAAAUAAUAAUCACCUAUAGUGCAAGGUACAGUAAAACUCCCUGGAUCUUUUAAUUUGGGAGGUAGCUUCUUUUGUAUUCUGGCACUACAUUCCUCUGUCAACAUUACAGUUUCAUGUUCGUCUAGCUUGCGUUUGUUAGAUAAAAUAUCUUUCAAGAAUUUGGCGUAACUAGGCAUCUGAACGAGAGCAUCCGCGAAAGGGAUGUUGAUGUGAAGCUUUUUGAAGACCUCAAGGAAUUUUGUAUACUGCCUGUCUAACUUGUGUUUUUGUAUCCUCUGAGGAAAUGGAAUUGGCGGCUCGUAUAGUUUCAUAGGAACAGUUUCCUUAACUUGCGGUGUAUUUGAACUCUUUUUGAUAGAUAUAUCUGUUGUUUGUUCAGUCUGUUCUGCAUGCUCUUCAUCAGUAGAGGGUACUUUUUCCUUAUUUGCAGUUGGCCUCUUAACAUGGAACUCAAGUAAUUGGACCCCACUUCUAGUAGUAAUUGCUUUGACGUGUUCUUUCGGAUUAACCUCUGUAUUGCUUGGCAAUGUACCUGGUGCUCUGCCCGAUAUAGCUUGUGCCAUCUAUCCCAUCUGAGUCUCCAAGUUUUUAAUUGCAGCACUUUGAUUCUGGAUAGUUGUCUCAGUCUUCCUCAUAAAUUGAUUAUUCGCAUCCAUGUACUGAUCUGUCUUUUCCAUGAAUUUACCAAACAUCUCUUCCAAGGAAGUUCUCUUCUCUGCUUGCUGAAACUGAGAACCAUGUGGUGCAGUGAGAUUCUGAUUGCUCCAGGAAAAAUACGGGUGCUUCCUCCAACUAGGGUUGUAGGUGUCAGAAUAUGGAUUAUUUUGUUGGCGCUAACCCCCUUGUAUAAAAUCAACGUGUUCCGUACUUUGUAUACGAAUUGGACAAUUUACUGUACUGUGAUCCGCCCCACAUUCUUCACAACUUGCUCUUUUAGCCUGUACUACAU